UGGCGGCCGUAGCGCGGUGGUCCCACCUGACCCCAUGCCGAACUCAGAAGUGAAACGCCGUAGCGCCGAUGGUAGUGUGGGGUCUCCCCAUGUGAGAGUAGGGAACUGCCAGGC
rnacentral:rRNA from 1 species